UCUAAGACGUACCGUAAUUCGAGUACGCCGAAAGGGAAACAGGUUAAUAUUCCUGUACCUGUAUCAAACAAUCCUGACGCUUUCGGAUAGGCAUUGCGGAGCCAUCGCUCCGUCUAAGCUGGAUAUGAAAUUGGAGUACCGUAAUGGUGAGAAUUUUUCAAAACGGUGAUGGGGUAACAAUGCUGAUUCCAGGAGCCCGUGAAAAGGGUGAUACGGUCCGUACCGAGAACUGACACAGGUGCCCCUCGCUGAGAAGGCGAAGGCGUUUCGGGAGUAAAUGUGUUAAGGGAACUCGGCAAAUUAGCCCUGUAACUUUGGGAUAAGGGGUGCCUGCCCAGCGAUUGGGCAGGUCGCAGUGACAAGAUCGCUCCGACUGUCUAAUAACAACAUAGCAGACUGCAACUCCGAAAGGACUCGUAUAGUCUGUGAUUCCUGCCCAGUGCGAGUAUCUGAACACCGGGUUCAACCGGACGAAGGACUCGUAAACGGCGGGGGUAACAAUGACCCUCUUAAGGUAGCGUAGUACCUUGUCGCUUAAUUGGCGACUUGCAUGAAUGGAAUAACGAGAGCGAUACUGUCCCUAACACAUACCCGUUGAACCUUUUGUACUAGUGCAGAGACUAGUGACUCCUUAUGGGAAGUGAAGACCCCGUGGAGCUUUACUGCAGCCUGUCGUUGGGUUACGGUAUUACCUGCGCAGGGUAGAUGGGAGACGUCGAUCCAACCCUUGUGGGGGUUGGUUAGUCAACGAUGAGACACCAUCCUGGUUUUAUUGUAAUUCUAACUGAUUUAUCAGGACAUCGAUAGGUAGGCAGUUUGGGUGGGGCGCCACACCCUCGAAAAAAUAUCAAGGGUGCCCUAAGGUCAACUCAAGCGGGUCAGAAACCCGCUGAAGAGUGUCAAGAGCAAAAGUUGGCCUGACGCGAUUUCGCAUAGCAAGAAAUCGCGAGAGGAAACUCGGGUCUAACGAACCAAUACGCCCUGUUGAUGAGGGCUAUUGACUACAGAAAAGCUACCCCGGGGAUAACAGAGUCGUCGCCGGCAAGAGCACAUAUCGACCCGGCAGCUUGCUACCUCGAUGUCGGUUCUUUCCAUCCUGGCUGUGCAGCAGCAGCCAAGGGUGAGGUUGUUCGCCUAUUAAAGGGGAUCGUGAGCUGGGUUUAGACCGUCGUGAGACAGGUCGGUUACUAUCUAUAAGGAGUGUUGGAAGUCUGAAGGCAAGAAUGAAAUAGUACGAGAGGAACUUUCAUUCGGCGCCACUGGUCUACCGGUUGUCUGACAAGGCACCGCCGGGCAGCUACGCGCCAAGAGAUAAAAGCUGAAAGCAUCUAAGCUUGAAACUCAGCCUGAACAAGAGACUUCAUUAAAGACACGGGUAAAAGACCCGGUUGAUAGGUUCGGGAUGUACGCACGAAGGCAACGACGUGUUCAGUCCGCGAAUACUAAUUGUCUUAAUAAUU
rnacentral:rRNA from 1 species